CCUCCCAAGCCUCUCAGAGAAGCUCAAAUGGGAGGG
rnacentral:sRNA from 1 species